AUACGGAGGAUGCGAGCGUUAUCCGGAUCUAUUGGGUUUAAAGGGAGCGUAGGCGGGAGCUUAAGUCAGCGGUUAAAUGGUGCGGCUCAACCGUGCCCUGCCGUUGAAACUGGGUUUCUUGAGAGUGCAAGAGGCGGAUGGAAUUCAUGGUGUAGCGGUGAAAUGCUUAGAUAUCAUGAAGAACUCCGAUUGCGAAGGCAGUCCGCUGGGGCACGUCUGACGCUGAUGCUCGAAGGUGCGGGAAUCAAACAGGAUUAGAUACCCUGGUAGUCCGCACGGUAAACGAUGAUUACCCGCUGUCGGCGGUAGACAGUCGGCGGCCAAGCGAAAGCGAUAAGUAAUCCACCUGGGGAGUACGCCGGCAACGGUGAAACUCAAAGGAAUUGACGGGG
rnacentral:rRNA from 1 species